AUAUAAAGAUAAGGAGAAGGAGGAGGAAACGAAGAAAUUUGACGAGCAUACGUUAAAAAAUUGGUGUAUAUAAUAACAAUAAUAUAUAUAUAACGUAUAUGCGCAUGUAUACAUGAUUCUUAUUACAACAGCUUUAUUUUUAGUCUAGCCUAACCCAAACCGCCGGAAUCAGAUUCGCAAGAGCGGUCGUUUAUAUAUAUAAUAUAUUAUAUAAUAUAUUAUUCAUAAUAUAUUAACAUCUCUCGUCCUCCUUACGACUUCCUUGAAUUCUUAACGCUAACGGCGCUUUAAAUUACAAAAAAGUGGUUGCCCUAAAACCCACCUUACACCUUCCGCACCAAACAUGGACGUCUUCUUUUCGUUUUCGCGUCUAAAUUACGCUGGAAUAAUAUUACCUUAAUAUACUCUAAAUCUAUACCUACAUAUGUAUAUACCUUUAAAAUGCAAUAUUGAAAAACGUUUAAAAACGCGUGUUCAAAAUGUGACGUGUUGCACACACAAAAAUUUAAAUUCUAUCAAAUUCUCGGACAUUAACCCUUUCAGUACCAAAUAUUAAGUGUAUAUUAAGUGGAAUAUUAAAUAUAAUACAUUGAUAGAAUAGUAAAUGUGUAGAAGUUCCAACGAUUUCUCUUCACUCGUCUCGCAACUCGUCGCACGAGUUGUCGGAAGAGCUCUAUAGUUUCCGCUAUUAAAAGACUUCAGGGCGAGAAUGGCGGGAUUGGAGCAAAUCCGUAAUUCGUAAGGUCUACCUCAAGUUCGACUUUAUGUGGAACUAUAACGAGCAACGAGUUUGAACCACUUUCACUGUGCGAGCUUUUCAUUCGACACUGUAGAACUGUGUUAACGUGCAGUUAACAUUGGAAAAACCCGUUUCGCAGUUAAGACAGUUGAUUCCCUUUUAUUUAACACCGUAAAACUGACGCGCAGUUUGUGUAUCGAUCUUUUAUUUAACAGCGCGAAAUUGACGCAAUUAUGCUAACCCUUCGUUUGGCGUUACGGAAUUGUGUCAACGCUUCAUCUCAACGCCACCGACAACCUGCGAGCUGUCUCCAUAUGUCGCUCCACGUGGUGUCCUAAACGGAUGCGUAUUCGAGGGAAAUUGAAAAAAAAAAAACGCGAAUGCAAUGUAUACGGCGCGCAAUGGAUACGGAAAGGGACGAGCAAAUUCGAUUAAAAUCUGACUAAUCUGACGAUGACUAGGUCCCUCGAGAGAUUCCACAAAUAUCCGUAAGCAAAUACAUCUAAAAAAAAUGUCAAUCAAGAUUAACUCAGUCAUCGUCACAGCUUGUUCUUCAACAUUAUACAACGAUAACCAAAAGAAGCUAACGCGUGCAGUAGUGACGGAUAACAAUCACGAGUCACGAUGGCGAUGCGUAUCAUCCAGCAAAGUUUCGCUCGCUCUCUGUUUCGAGGAAGUAAGUCGCCUAGAAGUCGUCGCAAAAAUGUAUCGAGCGCCUUCUUCGACGAUACUGCAAGCUCCUACAACAUCAACAGCCAAUUGAAGACGAAACAAAGCACUAGGAAGGUAUUAGCCAAUGCAAACACAUCACAAUGAGAUGCUGAGUCGAUCAUUCGAGGGGCUUGCUCAUGGACAGGUGGCCACAAAGAAAUUCAUAACAAACAAAAUGACCGGAAGAACUUGGAAGAGGUGUAACUAAUAACAAAGAUGGUAACAAUUGCCAGUUUGUUCGCUGAUUCAAGUCUGAAUCAGUUAAUCCUCGCUCGCGUAUUAUUGAUACAUAUAACUAAAAAAAAAAAAAUCAAAAUAAAAUUGCAUGCAACAAAAAAA